UGGGGGAUAUUGCACAAUGGGCGAAAGCCUGAUGCAGCGACGCCGCGUGGGGGAUGUAGGCUUUCGGGUUGUAAACCUCUUUCGCUAUCGAACAAGGCUCAUUUUUUGGUGGGUUGAGGGUAGGUGGAGAAGAAGCGCCGGCUAACUACGUGCCAGCAGCCGCGGUAAUACGUAGGGCGCGAGCGUUGUCCGGAAUUAUUGGGCGUAAAGGGCUUGUAGGCGGCUUGUUGCGCCUGCUGUGAAAACGCGGGGCUUAACUUCGCGCGUGCGGUGGGUACGGGAAGGCUUGGGUGUGGUAGGGUGACUGGAAUUCCAGGUGUAGCGGUGGAAUGCGCAGAUAUCUGGAGGAACACCGAUGGCGAAGGCAGGUCACUGGGCCAUUACUGACGCUGAGGAGCGAAAGCAUGGGUAGCGAACAGG
rnacentral:rRNA from 1 species